GUUACAGCAGCCGCGGUAAGGCGAAGGAUGCAAGCGUUAUCCGGAUUCAUUGGGUUUAAAGGGUGCGUAGGCGGACUGAUAAGUCAGUGGUGAAAUCUCUCAGCUUAACUGAGAAACUGCCAUUGAUACUGUCGGUCUAGAGUACAGAUGAUGUGGGCGGAAUAUGACAUGUAGUGGUGAAAUACUUAGAUAUGUCAUAGAACACCGAUUGCGAAGGCAGCUCACAAAACUGUAACUGACGCUGAGGCACGAAAGUGCGGGGAUCAAACAGGAUUAGAUACCCGAGUAGUCC
rnacentral:rRNA from 1 species